UACGUAGGGUGCAAGCGUUGUCCGGAAUUAUUGGGCGUAAAGAGCUCGUAGGCGGUCUGUCGCGUCUGGUGUGAAAACUCAAGGCUUAACCUUGGGCCUGCAUCGGGUACGGGCAGACUAGAGUGCGGUAGGGGAGACUGGGAAUUCCUGGUGUAGCGGUGAAAUGCGCAGAUAUCAGGAGGAACACCGAUGGCGAAGGCAGCUCUCUGGUACGGUACUGACGCUGAGACGCGAAAGCGUGGGGAGCGAACAGG
rnacentral:rRNA from 1 species